UGCCAGCCGCCGCGGUAAUACGGAGGGUGCAAGCGUUAAUCGGAAUUACUGGGCGUAAAGCGCGCGUAGGCGGUACGGUAAGUCAGAUGUGAAAGCCCCGGGCUCAACCUGGGAAUGGCAUUUGAUACUGCCGAACUAGAGUGUGAUAGAGGAAGGCGGAAUUCCCGGUGUAGCGGUGAAAUGCGUAGAGAUCGGGAAGAACACCGAUGGCGAAGGCAGCCUUCUGGGUCAACACUGACGCUCAGGUGCGAAAGCGUGGGGAGCAAACAGGAUUAGAUA
rnacentral:rRNA from 1 species